UAAUUACUGUGUUUAUUUGGUUGUAAUAUCACAAAUGUAUUUGUUUUCUGUAAAUAUGUUUAUGAGAGACACCAAAUGUAGAGCUUUAUUGUUCUAUUUUGUAGUAAUUACUAUCAGGUGAAUUAGUUACACAACCAAGGACUCACCCAUACCGAGUUAAAGUUAGAAAUGUGCAUAUAAGUCCAGACGAUAGGCAUAAGUUUUAUUCUUCACAAGUACGGUAUCCCAUUUAAUCCCUGCUACAGUAGGAAAAUGUGAUAUCUACAACUUCAACAUGACCUUUUUUUUUCCAUGGAUGCUCCCAUCAUCUGAUUUGUUAAAUAGUUGUUAAUCCAAGUAGUAUAGUGUACAGGUGGAUGCUGUCUAAGAAGCACGGUUUUAAAUUGUCUGCAUACCAUAUACGGGGUUGUAUUGUUGGUAAACUCGGAUACAGUAAAUGGUCAAACCCUUUAAUUGCGACUACCAUGAUGACUGCUUCUUAAACCCUGAACCAGCAAGGAAAUUGUAUAGUAUGAGCCAUCCGAGAAAGCAAGGUUUUCCUAUUAAGAGUGCAUAUUCAUCUAUGAUAUGUUUUGGAGUUCUGAUGGUAUCUUUAAUUACCAGUUGAAAUAGGUGUGUCGUUGCAAGGGUAAAAGUUUCUUACAUUUGUAUUUUGUUUGUUAUUUUAAAUAAAGAGAAUUGAAUGAACCAUUCAAACUAGAAGUAGGCUUGAGUCAAUCAUUCGCGAAGUCAGCUAUGGCAUGAGACAUAAUAAAAAAAAAAUUUGACAUAACAUGGUGUUUUAGGCAUUUAAUAAUUAUUACAUUUCUUCAUGCUUCGUAUCUUCUGCACAUCUGAUCUUUGCUUUCUGUUGGCCUUAACGUAGUUCGACGGUUGAUGGUUAGAAACUUAUUUUAUUCCCCGGUAUAUAUAAAUUGCAACUUUGAAAUACUACUUUGAUGCAAUACAAAAUCUGCUCAUGCCACUCUGCAUUGCAUGUGGAUAUACAUUCUAAUGCAUAUAAGCUGUAUAUAUUUUGUUGAGUUAAUCUGUUGUACAUCCAUAUGACAACCUUUAUUUAGCCUAGGCAUGGGUGCAAAUGCAUUAGCUAUUUCAGUGUAAUGAGGUUGUAAUGAGAUUUUUUUUUUCAUUGUGUAAGUGAGCAGGUGCAGUAUGAAAGGUAGUUGUAAUGUUUCUUAUCUAGAACAUUAGGGAGGACAAUUCAGUCAUACAAAUUUUUUUGUGAGUCAUUUAUAAGCUGAGCUUCUUCAUUCCAGAGAAGAUAAUAGGAGGAUAAAUGGUGUCUGCAGCGCAAUCAGGACAGGACAAAAUACAAGUGAACAGACUGGUGGAGGUUGCCUGGGCACAUGGAGAAUGGAAUUAUGGAUAUGACUAAAAUAGACCAUUAGGACAUCGUAAGUAUAAGCAGGUGGUAUGUGGUCAUUUAAGCAGGUGUGAGGAGGAGAUGUAGCCUUGACUCUCUUAAAUCCAUUUUUAUUAGUUUCCAGCCCUAAUAUUUAUCCAACUGAGUGCAAUUCAAAAUCAUAGUCAUCUUCAAUCUGUUUGCGUUAUCUUCAAGGAUAUGGCUGUAGCUGACAAUGAAGCAGUGCUACAUGGCACUGAAGAACAUGGGUUAUUAUCUUGCAGAGUUGAGCUUAUUGGAUUAUGGAUGUAUUUUGUUCGUGCUACUGAGGAUCUAGGCUCUGUUUGUUUGUCUUUUUUGAGAUUUAUGAUCCAUUUGAGCAUGGAUGAGUAUAGGCAAGGAAAGCUUAAUCCUUUACCAAAGCCCUUCAUAAAUCCAUUUGUCUUACUUUGAAGAUGUUGAAGGAGUUAUUGAAGUAUGUAAUGUAGCAACAAUAAAUAAUAAUAGAAAUGUUUGUUUUUUUCCUUUACUAUAAA